rnacentral:pre_miRNA from 1 species
UCCUACAGAUGAACAAAGAAAGUAGUUUCUUGAGAUAGAAUCUAUUCCUGGUGAAAAUGCUAUGAA